CCUACGGGAGGCAGCAGUGAGGAAUAUUGGUCAAUGGGCGAGAGCCUGAACCAGCCAAGUCGCGUGAAGGAUGACGGCCCUACGGGUUGUAAACUUCUUUUGUAGAGAACGAAAAGACACCUUCGAAUAAAGGGUGUUGCUGACGGUACUCUAAGAAUAAGCACCGGCUAACUAUGUGCCAGCAGCCGCGGUAAUACGUAGGGUGCGAGCGUUAAUCGGAAUUACUGGGCGUAAAGGGUGCGCAGGCGGUUGAGUAAGACAGAUGUGAAAUCCCCGAGCUUAACUCGGGAAUGGCAUAUGUGACU
rnacentral:rRNA from 1 species